UUUUUUUUUUUUUUGAUUCACAGAAUUGUCAUUACAAUUCAAAUAUUAACAACCUGGGCAAACAUAAGAUCACAUGAGAAGCUGAAAAGAAACCAUGAAAUUCUAGCCCAAUUUUUAUCUUCUUAUAAAAAAAUCUCCAAGCAGUAUUAUUUAGCAAAGAGCAGCUCACCGCAGACUGAAGAUUAACUGUUAAAUUCCGUUUUAUUUUGAAGCUCAGAUAUGUUUUUGUAUUUGCAACUGUUCUAUACCAUAAGAUUCAAUGAGUUCCAUAUUAACAUCUUACCUAACAGUACAAAAACAAUAGAAGAAAGAAGCUAAAGUUUGCUGAUAAAAGUCCCAUUAUCUCAUUACAUGGAGCGAUGCGUGCAGAGGGCAAAAAAUAAGAUCACCAGCCAGAUCACAUUUUCUACCAGACAAAAGUUCCUAAGCAUGAACAGGGGUUUGAAUAGUCAGAACCCCCAGGAUAAGAAUCCAGCCCAAAAGUUAUUUAAUAUAUUCUUAGUAAUCUGCUGCAAGAAAUAGACAAGAUACAUUCCGGUAACACAAAGCCAUUUAGGUCAGGAGAAACCAGAGGAGUCUUUGAAAGACUCCAGAAGGAACUAAUCAAAUACGAAGCAUGAUGAAAUUUGGCUUAUUAAUGCUAGGGCAUCAAGACUCUCUCUUUCCCUCUCUCUCUCUCUUUCUUUCUGCCGCGCCUGAGACACGCAGAAGUUCCUAGGCCAGGGAUCAAACCUGCAUCACAGGAAGGACCCACACCCACAACAGUGAUAACAUCAGAUUCUUAACCUUCUGAGCCAUGAGGGAACGCUAAGGCUCUUUUUAACUGUAAACGUUGAGCAAACAGCCCUUUCCCUAAAAGCAAUGACUUCUUCAAAUCGGCAGGUAAAGGGGCAGCAACCACUCCCAUCAUUUAAAAAAACAAAACACCUUUCUCUCUUUCUCUUAGCUUUUCAUGUUUUAUACCCAUUUAUUCCUUAAACUCCUAGAAAUCUGGUGCCAACCCCUUCAUUCCACCGAAUUGCUGUGAGCCAUUUUUAAAGUCUCAACCCUAGAAAAUCAUAUCUUGCUUAGUGUCAAGACCAGUUGAUUCCACCUUCUCAUAUCUAUCAAGUUUAUUCUUUUUAUCUUCACUGCAACAGCAUGGGGUUAGGACAUUAUUACUUAUGCUGCUAAUAGGGCUGCCACUCCUCGAAUCCAAUGUCAGGGUACUUAAAGGCUUAAGGAAACUCAGAGUUUGAACUAACAGGACAGAUUUGACCCCUUUUCUCCAUCACCAAUUUAGUCUUUGCAGAAUAUAUAUUUGGAGGCUUGCACACAAUCUGGACCCAAUUUACAUUCUAAUAUCCCGCUUGGCCACACAUGAACACGAAACCACCUGCACACCAGACUUCUCACCAACAAAAAUUCCCCUACGUUCACGUUUCUGGAGCCCGGCUUUACCAGGACACCACCGUCACCCUCCAAGGACCAACGUGAAUAGCAUCCACUUGUCCAGAGCAGUCCUAGUUUGGGGGAGAGUCCCUGAAUACCCAUCCAACUGUCCCAGGCACUGACGUGCCCACAUGAUGCCUCUCACCCACCACGGUUACUUCACCACAGGCACACAGGGAUUUCUGUCCUCUGUGGCCCUGAGACACUAUAUGGUAUCAGAGAGCAGGGGUGGAACUAUUUUGGUCAACACCGAGCACCAAUGCCUACAGUCAACACUGCAGAAAUAUUUAACUGAAUGCAAACAAAAGGGCAAAUUUAGCGUUACAUGGCAGUUGGCUCUGGAACCAAAAUUUAAUGGUAAAGAUUUGCAUUGUUCGAAUGCAUGCUCCUCUUUGCAAAUGUGCCUCCCCCUCAGGAAGUAGUAGGAGUAUAGGAGGCCCUCAGGAAGCUGUGAUAAAAGUCUAGCCACACCUGGGAGGUGGGCAGAGGCAGAAUGAGAGCCAUCCAAGCCAUGCAGAGAUUAGUAAGGGGCAGUGGGUUGGCAACUCGAGGGCACAGCAAGGAAGAGGCACAUCCCCAUACUGGCACCUGGAAGCAUAGAGAAUGUACUAUGGCAACCAGAUAAAACUACAAGACAGAGGGGACAAGCUCCUGCAAGGCGGGCAGCUCCCAAACAUGGCCUCAGGCAACGACAGCCCCGGUAUCCCCCCCCAGCCUUCAAGUCAGGGAACCUAACGGAGGCAGAACGUCUCCUGGCUCCCUCGGCCCGUUACCAUGAAAUGCUUCUCAGUGUGACUUACAGGACUGUCUUAUGUACGGGCCCAGUAAGACUGGAGAUGAUGCAAAGAGCCUGGGAAGUCACCAAAUUCUCCUUGUCUACUGGCAAAUCCCGAUAACUGCUUUAUUGUUACAAAGGACAUGGAGUUCUAGAAACAGCUUUUAUUUCAAACCGUUAAGUCUGGAAGUAAAGGAGAGACAUGUAGAUGUGAAUUAUUCAAAAUAAAGAUGGAAGUCAAGGUUCUCCCACACGUGGAACAGCGGGUUAAGGAUUGGGCAUUGUCGCUGCAAUGACUCAGGGUGCUGCUUUGGCGCGGGUUCAAUCCCUGGCCAAGGAACUUUCACAUGCAGUGGGCGUGACCAAAAUAUAUCAGUGGAAGUAACAUGGCCCUCGCUGUGUGGACGAAGGAAGGAGACCACCACGCAGAAGUGCCGAGGUACAGAGCUCAGAGCCCAGCCAGUUCUGAAAGGACCAGGUGAGCAUAUGGAGGAGCAACUCUGACUCAAGCCGCUGGAGGGCGAGAGAGAGGAAGCACUAGUUUAUUCUGCGUUAUAAACUAAAGGAAAUCCUGCAGAAACAUUUUUAAAUGAUUUACCAUAAUGUUGUGCACACACACAGUACCUGUGGAAAAGCCAACGCAACCCUUUUAGCAAAGCAAAAUGUUGUUAUCAUAGAAGAAAAACAGUAGCCCAGGCUGGAAGCGCUGAGACAAGGAGUAUCAAAAGGAGUAUUUGGUUUAGAAACCAAAGAAUAUACACGGAAAUUUUAUUUUAGAGAAUAUUAUCCUAGAAUCAGAAUAAAAUGCUUAUAAAUGUAACGUAAUUAGUAAAGAUUCUAAAUGGAAUUGAAAUAGAAAAUAUCAUGAAAAAUAAUUCCUUUAUAUUCGAGAGCCAAAAGUAGUUACCACGCAGAACUUGAAAAAGACUAUUAGUUUGAAUGAGGAGAAAAAGAAAUGCAAAACCUCAGAAGGUGGGAGAGCAGACUUUUCUCUAUCUUAUGUGCUGGCUAAAAUAUUCAUGAAUUGAAGUAACUGGAAUAUAUUCAUGAAUUGAGGUUCUAGUUAUGUUUACUUCAAUUUAGAUACCUCUUGAAAUUUAAAUAAAAGAUCAACCUAGAUGAGAAGCAUUAUAGCCACAAGUAAAUAAAAAUAUUUACAAGUAAAUAAAAAUCUGUUUCACUAACAGGAAAGAAGCUUAGCCGGAAGGCUAGUGAUAGCAAGUUAUUAAUAAACAUCUUAUGUAAAGUGUUUAUAGUUCUGGGACAAUCAGAAAAAUAUGUUGAUUAUAUAUGCUGGCCACUUUUUUUUAAUUAUCAAAGGAUUUUAACCAUGUAUGUAUGAAAAGCAUAACCAUCUCAUCCACACGGAAAAUACAAAGAGAAUACAUAAUACAAAUUUGUUUCAAACAUUAAAAAACGUAACCUAGAAUUUUUGACAGUAGAAUAGGCUAUUGAAUAUAAUUGCUUAUUAUUAUUCUACCCAACAAGGCCUUAUAUUUAAAGAGGGAAUUCUUAUUGUGAUUCAGUGCAUUAGGAAUCUGAUAUAGUCUCAAUGAGGUUGUGGGUUUGAUCCCUGGGCUCAAUCAGUGUGUUAAAGACCCAGGUUGCUAUGGCUGUGGUGUAGGCCGGCAGCUUCAAUUCCAAUUUAGCCCCCAGCCUGGCAAGUUCCACAUGCUGCAGGUGCAGCUGUCAAAAGGAAAAAAAGGGGGAAAGAUAAGAAGCAGGGUGAAUUCUAACCACAGAACAUGACUAUCAAAAAUUUAGAGCAAAUCACUAGGACAAGGUGAAGGGCAAAGAACAACAAUACACUUUACCUUAGGUUUUGAUUAGCACAUUACAUAGUUAAAGUAACAUUUAUUGAAUACCGAGCUACAUGAUUUUACUGAAGUCUAUGCUGUUCUAUUGUCCACCAUUUUAGAUAUGAGAGUUAUGGAGUCCCCAUCGUGGUGCAGUGGUUAACGAAUCUGACUAGGAACGAUGAGGUUGUGGGUUCGAUCCCUGGCCUUGCUCGGAGGGUUAAGGAACCGGCGUUGCCGUGAGCUGUGGUGUAGGUCACAGACGUGGCUUGGAUCCCGCGUUGCUGUGGCUCUGGCGUAGGCCGGUGGCUGCAGCUCCGAUUUGACCCCUAGCCUGGGAACCUCCAUAUGCCGUGGGAGCGGCCCAAGAAAUAGCAAAAAGACAAAAAAAAAAAAGAGAGAGAGAGAGAGUUUUUAAGAGUCAGAGUCAAAUCAAAAUGACCACGGUCACACGGCAAAGGGCAACAGAAAGCUAAGUUUUGCUGGGUCGUGAGCAGAAGCUGUUAAUCAUUAUGGCAAAGUCAUGAGAGCUUCUGAACAACUGUAUUCACAAGAAAGAGAGAAUUCUCACAAUUGUCCAAAUAAGGUAAUGGCAGCUCAGAGCAGUCAGAGUAACAAACCCCUGAAGGACAGGGUCCAACCUGAGUUUCGGAGGGUGGGCACACGCCAUGACCUCCUCCCAGGGGGCUACAAACAGCCAGAGCACCAGAACACCCCUGACUCCAAAGCAAUAAAUAUGAUACUUAACAUCAAGUGACAAAAAUGGAUUGGUAUUUUGGGGAAAGAUCAUUAACUGAAAUCAAUGAUGUGGAGUUCCUCAAAGUUUUACAGACUCCUCUCCUUGUUUUCCAGAAAGACACUUGGAAUAUUGGUUUUCAUGAAGUGACCGUUUCAAUCCAGGCUGUGCCUCUCCAGGAAGCUGGAGAUUAGGUAGCUUAAUCCAGAUUCCCAUGAGGAAGCAUGAACUUGGACCCAAUUUUGGACACUUCCGUGUUCCGACCCCUCCAUUCUCAAGCACAGUGACGUUCUAAAGCAGGCAACCAGGAGUUCUCAUCGUGCCACAGCGGAAACAAAUCCGACUGGGAACCAUGAGGUUGUGGGUCCUUCCCUGGCUUCGCUCAUUAGGUUAAGGAUCUGGCAUUGCCGUGAGCUGUGGUGUAGGUCGCAGAUGCAGCUCAGAUCUGGCAUUGCUGUGGCUGUGGCGUAGGCAGGCAGCUCUGUAGCUCCGAUGAGACCCCUAGCCUGGGAGCCUCCAUAUGCCACGGGUGCGGCCCUAAAAACAAAAGGAAAAAAAAAAAAAAGCAGGCAUCCAGAACACAUGUGACCAGAGAUUGGAUUAUGUAAUUAAUGACAUAACACUGACUCAAAAGAUGGAGGGACAUCUGAGGCAGAAGGAAUAGAAUAUUUAUUUAAAAGGAAGGAAUAGAAGUCCCAGCAGAGCAAAGGAUGUACAGGAGGUCAUGGCACAAGAUGAAGCCAAAAAAGUUAACUUGGAUUUUGGAUUGCAAAGGACACAGAAUACCAAGCUAAUGAGUUUAAUCUUAAAUCAGUGCAGGAGGGUGUUUUUACAUGCAUUUAAACUUGGAGGUGAUGCAAUACAAACAGUGGUUUGAAAGAUUAAGCAAGUAGGAAUAUGCAGAAUUGACUCAAGAAGGAAUGGUAGAGGGAGACAAAUGUCACAUCAGCCCCAUCGAAGGGAGUAGAGCUGAAAUGAGAACAGGUGCUAAGAAGGUAGAAAGACACAGUUACAUGUAAGACUAAAGGUAUAUUCCACGGUACCUGGCAACAGGGAAAACAAGAAGCAGCAGAAAGAAGAGAAUGAAACAAAAUGAGUUUGAAACCUGGAAGACCCAUGGCACGAUGACAAGAAAUGAGAAAGUCACUGACAAUUAUAGAAUUUUCCAGCUUUAGGAUACAUUUGGAAAUUAACCACAGACAAUUUCCCAGGGGGCGAGGUCACUGUGGCAUACAGAGGUUGCCAAGGAUUACACAGCUAGAUGGACAGUUGUGUCCAGAAAAGGGCUUUCAAUUCACACUGCAUUUUAGACUGGGGACCCCUUCUCCUCUGCCUGGGAGAAGGUGUAGAGACAGCUCAGGGACACCAGACAGAAGUCGUCAGCUAGAUGUGUGGGCAUCACAGGCUAGAGGGAAGGGCAGAGAAACCAGGCGGUCAUGGCCAGGAAGAGCACAUUAAAUCCUGUUUGGCAAAAUGACCUGCACGCAGGCAGGCAACGCAGAAGACAUAUCUGAAAUAGAAUGUCAGAGAAGCCAAGAGGAAGGUUUUCCAGAGAUGCAAUAGACUCCAAAUACCAGCUCCGUCAUUUACGAAAGGCACAAGAAACAAUGAUUAUUGGUACCUCAUUCCUCAUCGAUAAAAAUUCCAUGCAUAUUUGACCACUUUCAAUAU
rnacentral:lncRNA from 1 species